rnacentral:rRNA from 1 species
AUUGAACGCUGGCGGCAGGCUUAACACAUGCAGGUCGAGCGGAGAUGAGGUGCUUGCACCUUAUCUUAGCGGCGGACGGGUGAGUAAUGCUUAGGAAUCUGCCUAUUAGUGGGGGACAACAUUCCGAAAGGAAUGCUAAUACCGCAUACGUCCUACGGGAGAAAGCAGGGGAUCUUCGGACCUUGCGCUAAUAGAUGAGCCUAAGUCGGAUUAGCUAGUUGGUGGGGUAAAGGCCUACCAAGGCGACGAUCUGUAGCGGGUCUGAGAGGAUGAUCCGCCGCACUGGGACUGAGACACGGCCCAGACUCCUACGGGAGGCAGCAGUGGGGAAUAUUGGACAAUGGGGGGAACCCUGAUCCAGCCAUGCCGCGUGUAUGAAGAAGGCCUUAUGGUUGUAAAGCACUUUAAGCGAGGAGGAGGCUACUGAGACUAAUACUCUUGGAUAGUGGACGUUACUCGCAGAAUAAGCACCGGCUAACUCUGUGCCAGCCGCCGCAGUAA